GAUGAACGCUGGCGGCGUGCCUAAUACAUGCAAGUCGAGCGAACAGUUGAGGAGCUUGCUCCUUUGACGUUAGCGGCGGACGGGUGAGUAACACGUGGGUAACCUACCUAUAAGACAGGGAUAACUUCGGGAAACCGGAGCUAAUACCGGAUAAUAUUUCGAACCGCAUGGUUCGAUAGUGAAAGAUGGCUCUGCUAUCACUUAUAGCUGGACCAGCGCCUUAUUAGUUAGUUGGUAAGGUAACGGCUUACCAAGGUAACGACGCGUAAACGACCUGAGAGCGUGGUCGACCAGACGGGAACAGAGACACGGCCGAGACACCUGCGGGAGGCCGCAGUAGAGAAUCUUACGCGAUGCAGCAGAGCCUAACCGUGCAACGCCGGGUAAGGGAUGACGGUCUUAGGCUCGUAAAACUCUGUAGUUAGGAAAAAACAAAAAUGCAAGUACCUGUGCACAUAUUGACGGUACCUAAACAGAAAGCCACGGCUAACUACGUG
rnacentral:rRNA from 1 species